CCCUCGGCCAUGUUGUUUCCCCGAGGCAUGCCGGGAGCUGUAGUCCCUCGGCACUCGGAUUGCGGUCGGCCGCGUUGUUUCCCGGAUGAAUGGCGGUACUGCAGGUGGGCGCUGCGCGUUUUGAGGCGGCAUCACCGGGCUCUGCUUCGUGUUUUGCCGGUAACGGCAGCGCGAUGCUGCCGUGCCCGUGAGGUUACGCAGGUGUGCUUGUCGCCGGCUCCCGGUACAGAAACGCUGCUAGAGGUCCGACAGCUGAUGAGCACCAUGUUGGAGCACAGUUGAGCGCAGUUGGGAGUUGUUGCACAGCAGGUGAUGAAGAGGAGCCCAGUCACUGUAGCAACGUCCCAGCUAUCUGGCCCAUGAGGAUGCAGAGACACUUGACCCAAACUAGCCAAAGGGAUAUUCCAUACCACAGCACGUCAUGCCCAGUAUAUAAAAUCGGGAGGAGCCACCCGGAAGGCCCAGAUCGCUGCUCGGGUCGGGCUGGGUAUCAGUCGGUGGGUGGUGAGCAACUGUAUUGUGCAUCACUUGUGUUUAUUGCUUUUUUUUUUCCUUUGCCCUUUUAGCUUCAUGUUCUUACUCCUUGUUAUUUGUCUUAUUAUUAUUGGUGGUAGUACUGGUUUUGUAUUAUACUUUAGUUACUGGACAUAUGGGGCUAUUAAAGGGUGAGUGGGUCCUCCUGAUCACUCCUUGGCUCUCCAAUCAGUGGAGCAGCUCCAUCUGCGCACUGCCUCUCCUCUCCGGUGCCCGCUCUUGGGUGUCCUGGAGCACGGCUCACAGAGCGCGAACAGCCGACCCCUUCUCCCAGAGCUGAAGAGCCAGGACAGAAAGCAGGUGCUGGGCAUCUUCUACACACAUACGGAGCUCCACAACAGUGCCACCAGCAUUGCUCUCGGUCCUCACAUUCCCACCUAAAACUCCAUCUGCGUACUGCCUCUCUUCUCUGGUGCCUGCUCUCGGGUGUCCUGGAGCACAGAGCAGGUACCCAGCAAUGGGAACUGUGGAGUGAAUUCCUUGCAUGCCAAGUGCAGUCACGCCUUACCCUGGAAGUCUGUUUAAUUUUAUACCUUUCUGUUAUGUGUGAACAAUGCUACAUUUUCAAAUAUAAGUUUAAUUUCUAAA